rnacentral:rRNA from 3 species
AAUCCAUAGGUUAAUGAGGCGAACCGGGGGAACUGAAACAUCUAAGUACCCCGAGGAAAAGAAAUCAACCGAGAUUCCCCCAGUAGCGGCGAGCGAACGGGGAGGAGCCCAGAGCCUGAAUCAGCAUGUGUGUUAGUGGAAGCGUCUGGAAAGGCGCGCGAUACAGGGUGACAGCCCCGUACACAAAAGCGCAUGUGCUGUGAGCUCGAUGAGUAGGGCGGGACACGUGGUAUCCUGUCUGAAUAUGGGGGGACCAUCCUCCAAGGCUAAAUACUCCUGACUGACCGAUAGUGAACCAGUACCGUGAGGGAAAGGCGAAAAGAACCCCGGCGAGGGGAGUGAAAAAGAACCUGAAACCGUGUACGUACAAGCAGUGGGAGCACCCUUUGGGUGUGACUGCGUACCUUUUGUAUAAUGGGUCAGCGACUUAUAUUCUGUAGCAAGGUUAACCGAAUAGGGGAGCCGGAGGGAAACCGAGUCUUAACCGGGCGUUAAGUUGCAGGGUAUAGACCCGAAACCCGGUGAUCUAGCCAUGGGCAGGUUGAAGGUUGGGUAACACUAACUGGAGGACCGAACCGACUAAUGUUGAAAAAUUAGCGGAUGACCUGUGGCUGGGGGUGAAAGGCCAAUCAAACCGGGAGAUAGCUGGUUCUCCCCGAAAGCUAUUUAGGUAGCGCCUCGUGAAUUCAUCUCCGGGGGUAGAGCACUGUUUCGGCUAGGGGGCCAUCCCGGCUUACCAACCCGAUGCAAACUGCGAAUACCGGAGAAUGUUAUCACGGGAGACACACGGCGGGUGCUAACGUCCGUCGUGAAGAGGGAAACAACCCAGACCGCCAGCUAAGGUCCCAAAGUCAUGGUUAAGUGGGAAACGAUGUGGGAAGGCCCAGACAGCCAGGAUGUUGGCUUAGAAGCAGCCAUCAUUUAAAGAAAGCGUAAUAGCUCACUGGUCGAGUCGGCCUGCGCGGAAGAUGUAACGGGGCUAAACCAUGCACCGAAGCUGCGGCAGCGACACUGUGUGUUGUUGGGUAGGGGAGCGUUCUGUAAGCCUGUGAAGGUGUGUCGUGAGGCAUGCUGGAGGUAUCAGAAGUGCGAAUGCUGACAUAAGUAACGAUAAAGCGGGUGAAAAGCCCGCUCGCCGGAAGACCAAGGGUUCCUGUCCAACGUUAAUCGGGGCAGGGUGAGUCGACCCCUAAGGCGAGGCCGAAAGGCGUAGUCGAUGGGAAACGGGUUAAUAUUCCCGUACUUGGUGUUACUGCGAAGGGGGGACGGAGAAGGCUAUGUUGGCCGGGCGACGGUUGUCCCGGUUUAAGCGUGUAGGUGUGUGUUCCAGGUAAAUCCGGUUCACUUUAACACUGAGGCGUGACGACGAGGCACUACGGUGCUGAAGCAACAAAUGCCCUGCUUCCAGGAAAA